rnacentral:lncRNA from 1 species
UUAUCUUCCCCAGCGGAGUAUUGAGUGCUUCCCAAGUGGAGUCCCCGAGUGGAUUGGAUCCUGUGAAGGAUAUCCCCAGCGAAGUCUAUCUUAUUCCCGGCAACAGUUUUGGUUCUCCAGCAUGAGUGAGGAGUCGGUGAUUUCUCCACAAAGCAUCCCCAGAUGAAGGCCCUCUCCGCAGAGUAUUUCCAGUCAGAGUAUCCCCGCAGAGUUGGAGUACCUGAUCU